CACCUUCUGGUCGUCGGACUCGGACCAGUCGAAGAGCUUGCGGAAGAGGUCACGGAGGAGGCCGAAGGCGAAGAAGAUGCCGUAGCCGAUGAGGGUGGUGAGAGCGGUCAGGUAGGUGAGCCUCACCAUCCGGCGGAUCUCCCGCGGCACAGCGAUGGGGGGUAUGGGCGGCAGCGGGGGGAGCAGCAGCAGCAGCAGCGGGUGCGGCAUGGCUGGUCUUUCCGCUGCUGAAAUGAUAGAGGAGGGAAGGAGGAAAGAGAGUUAGUGGAGGGAAGAGGCGCGCUCGGGAUCGGGCUUUUAAUGGAUGCCUCUCCCAUGGCGAACGAUGGCUGCUCAAAGUGUCGUUGUUGAAGUUGUUGUUUGGUUGGCGUUGAGAGAGAUUUGCACGUAGCAGCGCUGAAUUGGAGCGGGACCAGAUUAAUGUUUGCCAAGAUCGACCACGACUGUAACAGCUCGGAUGAGGAUGGUUGGAGGAGAGAGAAGAUAUCGAAUUGGAUCUGUGUAUUGAUUACAAGGGGCUGGAAAUCUCCUACACAGGAAACUGAAACGAAUGCAGGUUUAAGAGUCUAUGAUGGAAUGACUCUGGUCAAAGAAUUUGCCUUCCUUCCAUAGUUCCAUUGCUUCUGCUGAUCAAGAAUCAAUAAAUCAAUCUCCUAUGACGCUCUGAAAAGAUGAUUGGGAUUACCAGGAGAGCAUGUUACUCCGCUUGUGCUUCUGUCUCGGAUUAAGAGUCUCAUGGAGCUUAGAGCCCCAGACCUAGCGCACAUGACGCCUGUGUUUGAGGCGAUACGGGCAUUGAAAGCCGCAUUAGUUGCACGUGCGCAUGUGCGCAGGUGAGAGUACGUGUCUGUGUGACUGUCCACGCGCUCACAUGAAGAGGAGUGUGAUGGCUGGGCACACAUGCAAGUCAAGUCCUAUUCAUACACCCUGGCCAUUCUCACUCCCCUUGCCAUGAGCUUCAAGGUUGGCUGGAAAUGAGAUGUCUAUCUUUACCUGUCUCUGGUUCCUCAUCCAACGUAGGUAGGUGACUGCAGCCACGCACAUCUUCUCAUAUCUCUCUCUGUUGUCAGAGUUUGCUGGGAGAACAACAGGACACGUGGCCAGAGGACCGUUCCAAAGGGGAUCUUAGUGUUGAAAGCAUUAGGUACAGACACGAAGAUAUUGGGCUUCAAGAGUUGAGGAUCACAGUAUUAUAUUGGCCGCAUGAUCCGGGCAUGGAAGAUCUAACUAAAGGAUCUCAGGUUUAAAAGUUCGCACAAGCAUCCCACAUGGGGGGUCUGGCACUUGCUCUACGGCAUCUUGUUGGAAUUUUCCUUCAAUUAACCAUGUAAACUUAGGUUGCGAAUAGAGUAAUAAAGGGUGCAGCACCUAUGAACUUUGUCCUCGAAAACAUAGACACUGCUUUAUCCUUGUACUGUCUAAUGGGACGACAAGACCACUGUCCUCGCUAUCUCUGAGAAAAGAUCAUUCAAAUGAGAAAUAAAUUCAGGCUUUGCUUAAUACCGCUUUGGAUUGGAUACCGAUUCAGAGAAAUUUUCAAAAGAAAAAUUCAAAGAAUUUGGGCUCUUCUGGAAACGAUGAAAGAAUCUCGCAAGGAUUGUACUGCAGCCAAAACAAGGCUGGAAGGUAGUGGAUCCACCAUCAUGGUGCCAUUGCAUGUUCUAUUUGGAGUGCUCGUGGGGGUUGGAGAUCAGGUUGAAAGAUCAUUGUGUGGUACCUUCGAGACCAUGGUCUUGGCUUGCCGAGAGAAGUGGAUUGAAGGAAGCCCAUUUGCUUUUUCUGGCGUAUAGUUUCUCUGCUCAAUAUUGGACUACCAAUUGAAACACAGAGCAACAAUGGAAGAUGUGCUUAUGGAAGUAAGAAAAAUUCACCUCGAAAUGGGUAGCUGAGUAGCCACAAGAGAAUUCCAAAUCACCUUCCAUGGGGGUCUUCAUGUAGCUGCUGAUGUCCUCACUAAUGAAGCUGGCCUGCAAUACCAGCGAACCUCAAGAGGUUAAUAACCAACGAGAGCAGGCGAAGUGGAACUUCAACCAAAAUCUGCAUUCAUACUUUGGGUUGGCUGACGAGAGGUGAACUGGCAGUGUCAUCCAACAGAGAAGAGCAAUGCUCCUGGUAUUGUUGCUCCGGUUCAACUUUCCUCUUCUUGGCAUUACCACACUUGACUAAGUCAUUGCCUUCAAAGCAAGUGCUGGAGUUGAUACUGUGGAGGGAGAGCUUAUCCUGUUCAGGGAAGUGAGGCGGCCCAGAGGAUGCAUCAGAGACCAUCGACAAGUCUUCUUCUUCCUCCUCCUCCUCCUCCUCCAAGGAAUCGCCUUUCUCAUGCUCAAGAGGCAGAGAGAAGGCACAGGAGGAGUUGUCUAAGUAAGCCGUCCAACCAGAUUGGCAUCCACUGCUGCACUCUGAGCUGAUGACAUCUCGCUCCUCCUCCCCCAGCAUGAUCAGGGGAGAUAUAUUUCUUCCACAAACCAUGAUUCGCACCUGCAGCAAAAGCAAUCAGUAAUCUAAAUGGUCAAUUAUAUAUAUUCUGACCAUCAAAAUGCCGUCGAAUGGUUUUGAUGAGUGUUGCAUGACUCGCUUAGCGAAGACUGAAGACUUUGUUCUUUGUCUAGGUAAUUUACUCCCUCCGUGAAACAGGGAAAGUCUAAACAUGCAUGAACAUGGACGGCCAGGCACGGCGUGCGUGGUCUUCUCUUUGCCCUCGCACUUAACGGAGUCUGGGACCAUGGUUCUUUAACCCGCACCUCUCACCGCUUUCCACUUCCAUCUCCUGCAUGUGCUAAUGGCCUCUUCACAUGCCCGCCAUGUAGAUGGUACGUAAUUAGCCUGUAUGUUACGUUGGAUUCUUAACUUGAAGCCUAGCUAGUUUGGAUCAUGAAAUUGAAUGCCCCCACCUAUUUGGAGGCCGAUGUAGCUAAGAGACACUAACUAGAAUUCAAUAUCCAUCUAUGCUUAUGAUACAUACAUUGAUUUGAUCUGCCACCUCGGUCUGCUACUGUUCGCUGUUGAGUUAAAACUGCUAUCCAACAAAAAUACUUCAUACAGCUGCCAAAGAAUUGAAUCUGCCGGCCCCGUAUCGAACUGUUUUAUCUUAACCACUCCGAAAGGAUUUAAUUACUUGACUGAAGAAGGGAAUGAAUAUGGGGGAGCCCUUAAUUUGUGGGUGUGUUAAAGAGUACCUAGCUGCCCAUCUUUUACCGAAUCUGCAGCCUCGAGGCGAGGGGUAGCUCAAGCCAUGUGCAACGUUAAUUCAUGGUAUAGAAGGGGUGGGGUCCGUUGCUUGCAUGGAUCCUACAAUGUAAGGGACCCAUUAGAAGACCAAGACGCAGGUCCUGUUGUCCUCUUUCUAUCUACACCAGCUGCCUAUGUGAAUGUAUCUCAAAGAAUUGGUGUAGUUCCUUUUUGCCUUUGGACUUUGGAAAUAUAUAGUGAUUUUUUAUUUUAUUUUUUUAACUAUCUUGUCAUGGUCACUACUGGUCGAUCAA